rnacentral:rRNA from 1 species
CCUACGGGGGGCAGCAGUGGGGAAUAUUGCACAAUGGGGGAAACCCUGAUGCAGCAACGCCGCGUGAAGGAAGACGGUUUUCGGAGUGUAAACUUCUGUUCUUAGUGAAGAAUAAUGACGGUAGCGAAGGAGCAAGCCACGGCUAACUACGUGCCAGCAGCCGCGGUAAUACGUAGGUGGCAAGCGUUGUCCGGAAUUACUGGGUGUAAAGGGAGCGCAGGCGGGAAGCCAAGUCAGCUGUGAAAACUACGGGCUUAACUUGUAGACUGCAGUUGAAACUGGUUUUCUUGAGUGAAGUAGAGGUUGGCGGAAUUCCGGGUGUAGCGGUGAAAUGCGUAGAUAUUCGGAGGAACACCGGUGGCGAAGGCGGCCAACUGGGCUUUAACUGACGCUGAGGCUCGAAAGUGUGGGGAGCAAACAGGAUUAGAUACCCUUGUAGUC